GUGGCACCAGCGCGAGUGCAGCGUGCCUUUACCUCUGUGGAGAGGGUGUGCACGACCAGAACGGGAGGGGUCUGAGGACCUUAUAAACCACAGGACUGCUCACCACCUGGCUGGAGGUGUCACUGUCCUCUGAUUAAGGCAUGGGAGUCACAAGUCCCUUGGAGAGCACUUGUCUCAUGGGAUGCUUGAGGACUCCUGCAUUGAGGUCACAGGGUGGAUCCAGCCCUGCUCACACCAACGCUGUCACAGUUCCCUCUGUCACAUGGCAGCCAUCACCCAAAGGGACACCUGAAUGCUUGUGACAUGCUACACCUGCUCACAUGGCUGUGGGAUUCCUGUAAAUGUGGGAUUUGGGGGCAUUUUGGCAGCUCUCUUAAUCUGUCACACGUUUGCAAGAAGCUGCCAAAGAUAAUACACAACCUGUCAUAGUAACAAGAUCAUCAGAAGGAAAACUGAAGAGAUAAUAAACCGGCAGGAAAGCUGAAGGCUCACUUUGGAAGCCAGAAGGAGGCAGUGCCAUAUGGAGCACAUGGAUUUUCUUCUGGGAAUGCGUGUUGGUGACUGAUUCACAGAGGCUGCAACAGGAGGGCAGUAAGGAUAAGGAGGGCAUUAAGGACAGGAUGGGAGCAUCAGCCCAUUCCCAUAGCUGGAAACCAGAGGCUGCAUGGGCAAGGCACAGGGCUGGGAACAGCCCAGGACAGCCUCACUUUGGGGAGAGGUUGUCAAAUGGGGGAAAACAGCUCCAAAUCUGCUGCUGCAGUUCUCCAAGAAGAAUGAGUUUGGGUCCAUCACAGGAUAACCACAGGCAUCCAGGAGAGGUGGUGCUGUGGGAACUGAGCGGGUGACCGAGAUGUUCUUGUAGCAUCAAACCCUGGCCCCUCCAGACACCAGGACCAGGUGACACCUCUGAGUCAUCACUUUUGCCAUUUCACUCCUCCUUCACUUCCACAGACAGAUCUCCAAGU